rnacentral:lncRNA from 10 species
GAGCUUGGAGCCGCAGGGCUUAAUCCCGCGCGGCUCAGAGAUGGGUUUCUGGACUCGCGAAGCAGCUGCAACAAGGCAUCACUCACUGUAUAAGUAUUUCCAUUUCUGAGAGCAAAAGGAAGAACUUAAGCGGGCGGCACUUGGAGUGUAAAUUGCUUUGUAGUAUUUAAAGGCAGAAUGGAUCCUGGGCAGCCGAGCUGCAACAAACCGGCAGGACUUCCUGUGAAAUCAUGACCACCAUGUGCUCUUUCAGCCUCUAUCAGUUCCUACCUCUAAGCACCUGAGAGCCAAAGCAAACCACAGGAAACCACAGGUACUAACUCUUUUAGACCUGAUGAAGUGUCUCCCAAAUACAGUCUGGCAUGACUCAAACUAAACGUCAGCUUUUCCCGGCUCUCAAGCCUGCUGGUCCCUGAACUAAAACUCACAUUAUCAACUCUACUGGUUCUUAGGCCUUUGGAGUCAGACUGGAACUACAGCAUUGACUCUUCCGGAACUCCAGCUUACUGACUACAGAUCUUGGAACUUUUCAGCUUCCACAACCAUAAUGAAAGCCAAGCAUAUUCCAUCAUUUCCUAAAACCAAGAUAGAGCACAUAUGGGAACUUGUGAAAUAAGGAUGCCCUGCGGUUGUUUUCAGGACUGAAGACAACAGCUCCACGAUGAAACCAAAGCACAAAGAGAGAAAGAAAAGAAAGAGAAAAAAGGAAGAAAGAAAAGAAAGAUGAAAGAAAGAAAGAGAAAGAAGAGAGAGGGAGAGAGAGAAAGAAAGAGAAGGAAAGAAAGAAGGAAGAAGAAAGAAAGAAAGAAAGAAAGAAAGAAAGAAAGAAAGAAAGAAAGAAAGAAAGAAAGAAAGAAAGAAAGAAAAAAGGAAGGAAGGAAAAGAAACACAUGGAAAGUGACAGGCUCCCUUUGUAUAUCACCUUGCAUGGUAAAGUGCAGAGAGCUCCAUCAGAGAAAUGCAGUUAAAAUCCAGUAGAUACCACCGUACACCUGAAAGACUUGUGAACAAACAGAUGACAGAAAAACAAAACAAAGCAAAACAGAACCUGAGAAUUUGAAUUGCUGCUUCUUUGGACCUUUUAAGUUGCAUUAUCCCAUAAAAUGUGGUGGAUUCAAUGUUGUAUGGCCUGUAAAACUAAGUAAUGAAGGCUGAUAUGUACCCACCUGGCUCUGUCUUGGGAUCACACAACUUGGGAGCCAAAACAGGUGAGGAUGGGGAGGUGUCAAACAAGACCUAACCUCUCAACAAUCAGCUGGACACUGUUGUGUAAGAAUGUGAAGCUUGGCACUGCUGCAGCCAUCUUGUUCCAGGAAGGGUAAAACCUGAGGUUAGAAGCCAACAUCCUAAUGAUGGCAGAGAAGACAAAGAGAACCAGAGUCUAAAUGACAUUGUUGAGUUAGAUCACUACACUACCUCUAGUCUUCUUUUUAUGUGUGAUAAUAAAUCUCACUUAUACUUAAGCCAUUUGAAGUUGAGUCUAAUGUUCAUUUCAGACCAAAGCAGCUUAACUGACAUGUUCUCCGCUUUGUUACCCUAUCCAGUUGUUUUCAUGCAGGAAAUAAAUCUCAAAU